AUGGGAUGGGGCGACGACGACGGCGGCGGCGGCCUUCUCUUGGUGCUUGCUGAUGUGGUGGCCAUCGACACCGGCGACGAGUUGCAUCACGUAGACAUCAAAGGCUGCGGGUGUGACGGAGGAGCACCAUGGCGGGCGUGCAGGCCAUGGCUCUCUAUGUUGAACAAUAGGUUAAGGGAGCAUUCCUCAAUUUUUUUGGGGUCCAACGAAACAGCAGGAGUGUGGAGAAUUAAGGCACUCGAGGACUCUGGAAUAUGGAUGGAGAGAAGACAGUUGAAGACAUGGAUAUUGCUGUACGAGCACAUAUAA
rnacentral:rRNA from 1 species